ACCUGGGUGGCUCAGUUGGUUAAGCAUCUGACUUCAGCUCAGGUCAUGAUCUCACAGUUCGUGAGUUCGAGCCUCACGUUGGGCU
rnacentral:tRNA from 1 species